UUCAAGACAAACCCUGAGUUUCCGUGCCAAUGUUUGACUGUCCGUUUUAUAUGAAGUUUUUUUAUAAUUAGUAUUUUCAUUGUUGUUAGAUGAUCACUUUAUGCGUGACUUAUCUUUUUAAUUUUUUUUCAUAUUUUUUUCAAAUAAGACGGACGGUCAAACGUUGGACACGGAAACUAGGGUUUGUCUUUUU
rfam:Oryza glumipatula chromosome 9, whole genome shotgun sequence.